rnacentral:tRNA from 1 species
GGUCUGGUAGCCUAGUGGUUAGAGCUCACACAUUUUAAAUGUGGAGAAGUGGGGUGUCCGGGGUUCGAACCCCGACCCUUGCA